AAACUAAAGAAGAAGAAGAAACCAGGCUCGUUCUUUUAAUACAUCCACGCGUGGACAAAUACACAUGGAUGUAGAGACCUAUUACAGGGAUAAAAGCAUGAAUAUAUCCAUGGCUGUACGACAACUGUGCGUGUUUUCAUAGCUAGAUAUGUAGGUCGGUUUAUAAAGCAGGUUGCAUCUUGUUUUUUUUUCCGGGAUUAGGCGCCACUGUACCACUCAUAAUUGAUCGAAGAUGGGACUCCAAGUUCUGCUGUGGUGGCCGAAUAUUAUCGGAUACAUUAGGAUUGGCCUUGUGUUUGCUGCAUGGGCUGCCUAUAAGACGCCAGCAAUCUUUGUCUCUCUUUACUCAAUCUCCAUAGCACUAGAUGGAGUGGACGGCUGGCUGGCAAGGAGGCUGGGUCAGACCUCCAGGUUUGGAGCCUGGCUGGAUGUAGUGGUGGACAACCUGGGCAGAGGCAUGCUGUGGAGCCUGCUGUUUAAGUGGGGUUGGCUGGUGUCUGCCUUGGAGUGGUGCGUGUUUGUGUGUAACCACAAUGCCAGAGGUGACCACUGGAAGAACAGUUUCAUCACCAGUCCUCGAUUCAUACAAGCCAUCAUGGCAAACGGGUUUCGGACACCUCUUGGCACAUGGGUGGUGAGUGGGCUGCACUGCCUCCCCCUGUGGCUGUAUGGGUAUCAGUGGGGCUUACUAUCCCACUGGCUGUAUCUGCCUCCCUGGAUCCAGGCUGCGGGGACCCUGCUGCUGGCUGCAGGCCGCCUGCUGGCUCUAUCGGUGGAGAUAUGGUGUAUAUGGACACACAUCGAAUACCUCACCAAUGAUGAGCCGGAAGAGAAAAAGAACUGAAAGCCACUCAGCAGUCAGUGAAACUGUCCUAACGCGUGGCUGGUUUAGCUCAGUUGGUAGAGCAGGCGCACAUAUAUAGAGGUUUACUCCUCGAUGCAGUGGCCGCAGAUCUAGAAAAGGUCAUCCAUGCUUUCAUCUCCUCCAGACUUGACUAUUGCCGCACACCUGAUCUGUGUCAGCAGGCGAAACAUCCAAAGACUUCUACAAAACACUGCUGCCAGGCUUUUAACCCGUUCUGAGAGAAGCGACCACAUCACACCAAUCUGGGAAAACCUUUUUUCUUUAUGGACCUAUGCAGGCGUAGCAGUGCUGCCAUGUAGCUUGCAACACUAGAGUGCGCAGUUGUGACCAUGUUGGCUAGUGUGACUCUGUUCAUGGUGUUAAACAGGAACAGAGACUAUUAUAGUAUGAGAGCAUUUAUGUAGGAGAGACCUUGUGAAUGCUUUGUUUCUAAUAAUGGCAGGGAGGUUAUCCAGAUGUCAUUACUGGUGCCUUGCAAUAAAAUGCUGAAACACA